GACGAACGCUGGCGGCGUGCUUAACACAUGCAAGUCGAACGGAAAGGCCCUGCUUUUGUGGGGUGCUCGAGUGGCGAACGGGUGAGUAACACGUGAGUAACCUGCCCUUGCCUUUGGGAUAACUUCAGGAAACUGGGGCUAAUACCGGAUAGGAGCUCCUGCUGCAUGGUGGGGGUUGGAUAGUUUCGGCGGUUGGGGAUGGACUCGCGGCUUAUCUGCUUGUUUGUGGGGUAGUGGCUUACCAAGGCUUUGACGGGUAGCCGGCCUGAGAGGGUGAACGGCCACAUUGGGACUGAGAUACGGAGCAGACUGCGACGGGAGGCAGCAGUGGGGAAUAAUGCAGAAGGGGCGGAAGCGUGAGGGAGCAACGGGGCGUGCGGGAGGACGGCCUUCGGGUUGGAAACGGAGGACGGCUGUGACGAAGCGUGAGUGACGGUAAUGGGUAAAGAAGGACCGGCUAACUACGUG
rnacentral:rRNA from 1 species